rnacentral:tRNA from 1 species
GCGGAAGUAGUUUAAUAGCAGAACAUUUAGAUUAAAGAUUUAAAAGAUUUUGGUUUGAUUCUAGAUCUUGGCA